rnacentral:rRNA from 1 species
UAUUCCAGUACCACCAUGUUCGCGUCCGUCCCAAUACUCUGUUGCUAAGGGGCUGUGUUGACUUCGGUCAACGCGAACCGACCCACAUUGUUGCGGGAAGCUGUAGGGGGACGCAGGAAGGUAGAUGAACCCGGUGAAUGGUAGAACCGGGGUAAGCGUGUAGGAGGAGGACCAGGUAAAUCCGGGCCUCAUAAACUCUGAGACGUGAUACCGAGCCGCUUCAGGCGAAGUCAUUGAUCCUAUGCUGCCUAGAAAAGCCCAGCAGCGAGUUGACAUGGUGCCCGUACCCCAAACCAACACAGGUGGACAGGUAGAGCAUACCAAGGCGAGUGGGAUAACUAUGGUUAAGGAACUCGGCAAAUUGCCUCCGUAACUUCGGGAGAAGGAGGACCCCAGUAGCGUGAUGAGACUUGCUCUCUGAGCGUGAAGGGGUGGCACAAAAUUGAGGGAAGCGACUGUUUACCAAAAACACAGCAGCGUGCUAAGCCGUAAGGCGCUGUAUACGCUGUGACUCCUGCCCGGUGCUGGAAGGUUACGGGGAUGGGUUAGUCCUUCGGGACGAAGCUCUGAACCUAAGCCCCAGUAAACGGCGGCCGUAACUAUAACGGUCCUAAGGUAGCGAAAUUCCUUGUCGGGUAAGUUCCGACCUGCACGAAUGGAGUAACGACUUCCCUACUGUCUCAACCAUAGACCCAGCGAAAUUGAAGUACGAGUAAAGAUGCUCGUUAGCUGCAGAAGGACGGAAAGACCCCGUGGACCUUUACUAUAACUUGAUGUUGUGUUUUGUCAUAUGUUGUGUAGGAUAGGUGGGAGACUUGGAAGCAUGGACGCUAGUCUGUGUGGAGUCAUCGUUGAAAUACCACCCUGCAUAUGGUGAGGCUCUAACCUAGACCCGUUAUCCGGGUUGGGGACAGCGUCAGGCGGGUAGUUUAACUGGGGCGGUUGCCUCCUAAAGAGUAACGGAGGCGCCCAAAGGUUCCCUCAGCCUGGUUGGCAAUCAGGCGUUGAGUGCAAUGGCAAAAGGGAGCUUGACUGCGAGACCUACAAGUCGAGCAGGAGCGAAAGCUGGGCAUAGUGAUCCGGCGGUUGCGUGUGGAAGCGCCGUCGCUCAACGGAUAAAAGGUACCCCGGGGAUAACAGGCUAAUCUUGCCCAAGCGUCCAUAGCGACGGCAAGGUUUGGCACCUCGAUGUCGGCUCAUCGCAUCCUGGGGCUGAAGCAGGUCCCAAGGGUUGGGCUGUUCGCCCAUUAAAGCGGUACGCGAGCUGGGUUCAGAACGUCGUGAGACAGUUCGGUCCCUAUCCUCUGCAGCCGGAGGUGAAUUGAGGAAAGCUGUCCCUAGUACGAGAGGACCGGGACGGACGCAGCUCUCGUGUGCCAGUUGUCCUGCCAAGGGCAUGGCUGGUUAGCGACCUGCGGAAAGGAUAACCGCUGAAAGCAUCUAAGCGGGAAGCCUCUUCCAAGAUGAAUUCACCCACAGGGUUAACCUGGUAAGGCCCGUGGUAGACCACCACGUUGAUAGGCCGGAAGUGUAAGCGUGGCAACACGUUCAGCUGACCGGUACUAAUCGGCCGAGGGCUUGAGUUA